GAUUUCUGACAUUAAUGCGCUUGGCCCGCUACGGUUACGUAUGUGAGUGCCGAGUCGUGUUUGUCAUCCUUCUAGAAAAUGUUAGUUUGCUCUUCAUUGAGUGUAAUUAACACGAUCUAGAUCUUUUACUUUGAAAAAAUUAGAGUGUUUAAAGCAGGCGUUUGCUAUGAAUACAUUAGCAUGGAAUAAUAAUUUAGGACUUUGGUUCUAUUUUGUUGGUUUCUAGAACUGAAGUAAUGAUUGAUAGGGAUGGUUGGGGGUGCUCGUAUUCAGUGGCCAGAGGUGAAAUUCUCGGAUUCACUGAAGACGAACUUAUGCGAAAGCAUU
rnacentral:rRNA from 1 species